UAGGGAAUCUUCGGCAAUGGACGAAAGUCUGACCGAGCAACGCCGCGUGAGUGAAGAAGGUUUUCGGAUCAUAAAACUCUGUUGGUAGAGAAGAACGUUGGUGAGAGUGGAAAGCUCAUCAAGUGACGGUAACUACCCAGAAAGGGACGGCUAACUACGUGCCAG
rnacentral:rRNA from 1 species